rnacentral:rRNA from 1 species
UACGAAGGGGGCUAGCGUUGCUCGGAAUCACUGGGCGUAAAGCGCACGUAGGCGGCUUUCUAAGUCAGAGGUGAAAUCCCGGGGCUCAACCCCGGAACUGCCUUUGAUACUGGAAAGCUUGAGUUCGGGAGAGGUGAGUGGAACUGCGAGUGUAGAGGUGAAAUUCGUAGAUAUUCGCAAGAACACCAGUGGCGAAGGCGGCUCACUGGCCCGAUACUGACGCUGAGGUGCGAAAGCGUGGGGAGCAAACAGG